rnacentral:rRNA from 1 species
CGUAGGGACCAAGCGUUGUUCGGAUUUACUGGGCGUAAAGGGCGCGUAGGCGGCUUUGUAAGUUACUUGUGAAAUCUCCGAGCUUAACUCGGAACGGUCAAGUAAUACUGCAGAGCUAGAGUGCAGAAGGGGCAAUCGGAAUUCUUGGUGUAGCGGUGAAAUGCGUAGAUAUCAAGAGGAACACCUGAGGUGAAGACGGGUUGCUGGGCUGACACUGACGCUGAGGCGCGAAAGCUAGGGUAGCAAACGGGAUUAGAUACCCCGGUAGUCCUAGCCCUAAACGAUGAAUACUUGGUGUCUGGAGUUUUUAUUCUCCGGGUGCCGUCGCUAACGUUUUUAGUAUUCCGCCUGGGGAGUACGCACGCAAGUGUG